rnacentral:rRNA from 1 species
AUUGAACGCUGGCGGCAGGCUUAACACAUGCAAGUCGAGCGGGGAAGGGUAGCUUGCUACCUGACCUAGCGGCGGACGGGUGAGUAAUGCUUAGGAAUCUGCCUAUUAGUGGGGGACAACAUUCCGAAAGGAAUGCUAAUACCGCAUACGCCCUACGGGGGAAAGCAGGGGAUCUUCGGACCUUGCGCUAAUAGAUGAGCCUAAGUCAGAUUAGCUAGUUGGUGGGGUAAAGGCCUACCAAGGCGACGAUCUGUAGCGGGUCUGAGAGGAUGAUCCGCCACACUGGGACUGAGACACGGCCCAGACUCCUACGGGAGGCAGCAGUGGGGAAUAUUGGACAAUGGGCGAAAGCCUGAUCCAGCCAUGCCGCGUGUGUGAAGAAGGCCUUUUGGUUGUAAAGCACUUUAAGCGAGGAGGAGGCUGCCGAGAUUAAUACUCUUGGAUAGUGGACGUUACUCGCAGAAUAAGCACCGGCUAACUCUGUGCCAGCAGCCGCGGUAAUACAGAGGGUGCGAGCGUUAAUCGGAUUUACUGGGCGUAAAGCGUGCGUAGGCGGCUUUUUAAGUCGGAUGUGAAAUCCCUGAGCUUAACUUANGAAUUGCAUUCGAUACUGGGAAGCUAGAG